GUGCGUGGCUUCCGCGCGUGGUGCGGAGUGGUCGGGGCGGGGAUGGGACGGGGUCGGCUCUUCUCCAAGCCUGGAGGAAUGGGGCCUCAGGUUCCUCCGGGAGAGGAGCGUGGCAUCCGCAAGCGGGACCCCAGGCCCUGCCCUCCCGCGCGGCUCGGCUGCAGGCUUGGCUUGUUAGAAUCCGAGAGGGAAUGGGGGCAGCUCGGGGACCCCCAGCCCCUCACCGUUCUCAGCCCCGCGUGCUUAACAGCUUCUUUGGGUUCCAGAGCCCUAGCGCAGGAUGUUCGUGCUGGUGGAGAUGGUGGACACCGUGCGCAUACCCCCGUGGCAGUUUGAGCGGAAACUCAACGACUCCAUUGCUGAGGAGCUGAACAAGAAAUUGGCCAACAAGGUACUAGGCCCUCGGGUUGCCGGGCAGUGUCCGGAACGGUCCCGCUGCUUGUCUGGCCGUCCCUUGUUUCAGCCUUGGCCUUACACACUUAACGUAACUUCAUGUCAGGGUUUCUUUCCUUCCCUUCCUUAUAAACCAGACUUGGAUGUCAGCGUGUACCCAAGGGAGUAAAUGGGCUGGACGAAGUAGUGUAUACCUGUCAUCCCAGCUUCUUGGGUUAAU
rnacentral:lncRNA from 1 species